GAUGAACGCUGGCGGCGUGCUUAACACAUGCAAGUCGAACGGUGAAGCAGAGCUUGCUCUGUGGCUCAGUGGCGAACGGGUGUGUAACACGUGAGCAACCUGCCCCUGACUCUGGGAUAAGCGCUGGAAACGGCGUCUAAUACUGGAUAUGAGCUGCGACCGCAUGGUCAGCAGUUGGAAAGAUUUUUCGGUCUGGGAUGGGCUCACGGCCUAUCAGCUUGUUGGUGAGGUAAUGGCUCACCAAGGCGUCGACGGGUAGCCGGCCUGAGAGGGUGACCGGCCACACUGGGACUGAGACACGGCCCAGACUCCUACGGGAGGCAGCAGUGGGGAAUAUUGCACAAUGGGCGAAAGCCUGAUGCAGCAACGCCGCGUGAGGGAUGACGGCCUUCGGGUUGUAAACCUCUUUUAGCAGGGAAGAAGCGAAAGCGACGGUACCUGCAGAAAAAGCGCCGGCUAACUACGUG
rnacentral:rRNA from 1 species